GGUCAAGGGCAGCAUGAGCUAUGAACUGGUUCAGAUGACGAUGGUCGUCCUAGAUGACAGUGUGAGCAGCACCAGGUUAACAUUUCCAUACAGCAUCAAGACAGCCAACAUUUCAAUCUGGAUGAUCAAUCUUGAGAGAUUAGGAGAAAACUAUAGAAAUGCUUUCAGAAGCCAUUCUUGAUAAGGAAGCUGGGUGUGUCACUGGGGAGGAGAGCAUAUGGGCACCAGCCAGUAGAUAAGGUAGGUCACUGGGAACUGCCAUCGUCUUGGGCAGCAGGAAGACAUGAUCUCUUCCACCUUCCCUCCACCCAUGAAGUAUUACUUAAACUCCAAUAUGUAACACAAACAAUACAAAUAAAGCACCACAACAGC